ACCCCAGGUGAGCCAAUCAGGAGCCUCUCCUCCCAGCCUUGGUGAUUCUUCAGGGUUGGUGGUGACUGGGGAGCCACACCAGGGUGGCAAACCUAGGAUAAAAAGCCGACGGGAAAGAGUGGUUCGGUGCCACUGGGUCCCUGGAAGCCUUAAGUGAUGUGGGCAUAACUGAGAGGAGCCACAUAGAGUUCGGUGCCCAAACAUAUAACCCCAAAGACACAGCUGGCAACUUUGAGACCCUUGAGUGUGGGCAGCCACAUUGAGUUACCCGCCUUCCAGUCCUGAGGCACCUCGGAGACCUGAAAGAUGACUGCAGUCUGGCACCUCCAGACUCUUUUCUGCUCGGACAGCAAGGCCAAGUCUUCUGAGCAGGCAGACCCUGGGAUGUCAGUCAACCUGCUGACAGCAGACAUCAAGAAGCUAGACUCAGCCCCCUGAAACCUGACCCCUGGCCUCAUUUGAGUGGCUUCAAUAAAAGGGUUCAGCACUUGCUCUCUCUUUCCACGGAUCCCUAAGGUCAGAGGAGCCGUCACAGGACCCAAAGAAAAAGGUA